CCUACGGGUGGCAGCAGUGGGGAAUAUUGGACAAUGGGCGAAAGCCUGAUCCAGCCAUGCCGCGUGUGUGAAGAAGGCCUUCGGGUUGUAAAGCACUUUCAGUGGGGAAGAAAGCCUUGUGGCUAAUACCCUCGAGGAAGGACAUCACCCACAGAAGAAGCACCGGCUAACUCCGUGCCAGCAGCCGCGGUAAUACGGAGGGUGCGAGCGUUAAUCGGAAUUACUGGGCGUAAAGCGCGCGUAGGCGGUCUGAUAAGCUGGUUGUGAAAGCCCCGGGCUCAACCUGGGAACGGCAUCCGGAACUGUCAGGCUAGAGUGCAGGAGAGGAAGGUAGAAUUCCCGGUGUAGCGGUGAAAUGCGUAGAGAUCGGGAGGAAUACCAGUGGCGAAGGCGGCCUUCUGGACUGACACUGACGCUGAGGUGCGAAAGCGUGGGUAGCAAACAGGAUUAGAUACCCUAGUAGUC
rnacentral:rRNA from 1 species